rnacentral:rRNA from 1 species
UCCGGAUUUAUUGGGCGUAAAGGGCUCGUAGGCGGCUCGUCGCGUCCGGUGUGAAAGUCCAUCGCUUAACGGUGGAUCUGCGCCGGGUACGGGCGGGCUGGAGUGCGGUAGGGGAGACUGGAAUUCCCGGUGUAACGGUGGAAUGUGUAGAUAUCGGGAAGAACACCGAUGGCGAAGGCAGGUCUCUGGGCCGUCACUGACGCUGAGGAGCGAAAGCGUGGGGAGCGAACAGGAUUAGACACCCUGGUAGUCCACGCCGUAAACGGUGGACGCUGGAUGUGGGGCACGUUCCACGUGUUCCGUGUCGGAGCUAACGCGUUAAGCGUCCCGCCUGGGGAGUACGGCCGCAAGGCUAAAACUCAAAGAAAUUGACGGGGGCCCGCACAAGCGGCGGAGCAUGCGGAUUAAUUCGAUGCAACGCGAAGAACCUUACCUGGGCUUGACAUGUUCCCGACGACGCCAGAGAUGGCGUUUCCCUUCGGGGCGGGUUCACAGGUGGUGCAUGGUCGUCGUCAGCUCGUGUCGUGAGAUGUUGGGUUAAGUCCCGCAACGAGCGCAACCCUCGCCCCGUGUUGCCAGCCCGUUAUGGUGGGAACUCACGGGGGACCGCCGGGGUUAACUCGGAGGAAGGUGGGGAUACGUCAAAUCCUCAUGCCCCCUUACCUUCAGGGCUU